CCUAAUUUCAACAUGUAUUGAUUGAACAUGUAUUUAUAUUAAUUUCUUACAAGGUAAAUCUUACAAACUCUUCCUUAAAUACACUACUUUGAAAAAAAUAUAUAAUCAUUGGCACUUGACACUAAUCAAUGACUUUUGAAUAUAGAUACAGUCCAACCAAGCCACCAGCUAUUGCAUGAUAUGGGAAUAUCUAAAGUCGUGGAGCUGCUUUCCAAAGUGCUGGAAGAAAAUAAAUUGAUGAAAGCGGAAAUUACCAACCUGGGGAGUGAAGUGAGGGCGCUUAGGAGAGAGAUGGUGAGGCCGGUAGCACCAGAAGCUGCCGCUUCGUCCAUCAAGCUGCCUCUGGGGACAAUGGAGGAGUUUCAAUUAGCAGAGGCUGUUAUGAGAGAAACCCCCUGCGAAAAACAAAAGAUGAUCUUAACAUUCAGUCUAAUUGGAGGGCACACUGCAGAAGAGGCCGUAAGAAGGAUGUUGCAGAGUGGCCUAACCAAUAACCUGGCGUGUCGCUUCAACUGGGCAGGGAAAGGCUUCAAGGAAGCCUUUAAAAGCACUGUCCUUAGUGAUGUAC